rnacentral:rRNA from 1 species
UACGAAGGGGGCUAGCGUUGUUCGGAAUUACUGGGCGUAAAGGGCGCGUAGGCGGCCCUGAUCGUCGGAUGUGAAAGGCCUGGGCUCAACCUGGGAAUGGCAUCCGAUACGGCGGGGCUGGAGUGUGGGAGAGGUUGGUGGAAUUCCCAGUGUAGAGGUGAAAUUCGUAGAUAUUCGCAAGAACACCAGUGGCGAAGGCGGCUCACUGGCCCGGUACUGACGCUGAGGUGCGAAAGCGUGGGGAGCAAACAGG